rnacentral:tRNA from 1 species
GGGGUUGUGGCUCAGUGGUAGAGCACUCGCCUAGCACAUGCCAGUCAUUGGGUUCAAUCCUCACCACCACA